AUGUCCACGGGGGCAGGAGGCAGUGUGCGGCAGGCCGGGGGACUGUGGCACGUGUGCGGGGCACGGGCGGGAGCGGUGGCACGGGACCAGACUGGGCGAGAGAAACGCGUGGGGGCAGGGCGAGAAAAGCAGGGGCAGUGCCGACCAGCAGCCGGGGUCCAGGCUUCCGAGCCCACGCGUCAGGAAGGAGACAACAGAGCGUGUUGUCGGGGACGUGGCCCGACGACAGCGAGGCUCAGCAGGGAACCCGAGAGCCCACGCACGGGGCUCCUGGGGGUGCUGGCCAGGUCAGCGCAGGGUGCGCCCCCUCCGUCCCGGGGGAGACGGCGGCCAGGGUGCGGGAGGCCUGCCUGGCACACAGCAGCUCUGAGAGGGCAGCCAGGGCAGGCCAGGCGGGGGCAGUACCUGUGGCGUGGUCCAGCCAGGGUCGCCACCACUGUGGCCGUGGCGAGGAGGAGCCCCCUGCACUGCCGGGCCCUGUGGAGGGGCAGGGUGAGCGUGAGCCAGCGGGGAGGCCCCAGGGCAGCGAAGGGGCAGGCCACGUGUGGUGCCGUGUGUGGGGGGGGGGCAGGACAGACCACAAGUGCGGACGGACAGUCAUGGGCUGGCCACGUGGCCCGUGGGGACAGAGUGACCAAGCGGCACAGGGUGGUUGGGCCGGGAAGCCCCGUGGGAUGCCACACAGCACAGAUGCAGGCAGGCUCCACCAGGCGUGGACACACCCCCACCAGGUGGGGACGCGGGGCCCAUCCACACUCACCUGACUCCUGGCUGGGGUCCAGGGAGCCCUGCAGGUGGCCGCGGCCGGCCCGGCCAUGCCUGUGCUUCUCCUGCUUGGCCCGGAUGCGCUCCAUCCUGCAGGGCGGGAGGCGGCUCAGCGCAAGGUGGGGCGGGGCCAGAGAGCCCGUGGCCCCACCCACACGGCACCUACUGUCUUUUCAGCUGGGCCAGCGACUUCUCCUCCGCCCUGCGGUGGAGCUCGAUGGUCUUGAGGUUGGCAGCAUUGUAGAGGCCAAAGCCCCUGUGGGGCAACAACGGGGGUGGGGCAUUAGCUCCGGCUCAGCCUGGCGUCCCAGGUCCUGCUCACUGACAGCAGCAGGGGCCCAGCCCACAGAGCUCAACACCCGCCUUGUCGCAUGCUGCUUCUGUGAGAGAGAGAUCCUCCCGCAGCCUCCAGUCUUACGGGGUAGAAGAUUGGGGGGGGCGGGGGGAGAGCCGCUGGCCCAUCAGCCAAAGCGCAGGGAUGCGCCCUCAGCCCAGCGCGGUGGCCACAACCGGCCCAAAACACCAGCUGGUGGCAGAGCCGGGGCCGAGGCCACAUACCCCCGGGGUAUGGAGAAGGUCCUAGCGGGUCUGUCUCCUUGGUUCUCCCUCUAG
rnacentral:lncRNA from 1 species